CUUGGAAGUCAGCCAGAAAGUCAUGAGCAUCUUCAAACAGCCUUAGGUUGACACCUACAUCUCUGUGGCAAGAAAUGGAAGCCUCUGGCCAACAGCAAGUGAGGACCAGAGACCUAUUGCCAACCAGCCCCAUGAGUGAGUUUGGAGGAGAUCUUCCAGCUCCAGUCAAGCCUUCAGUCUACAACUUGAUUGUAACCUCGUUAGGAACCCUGAGCCAGAACCAUCCAGAUAAGUCGUUCCCAGAUUCAUGGCCCAUACAAACUUGAUAUAACAAAUGUUUAUUCUUUUAGGUUUUGGGGUAAUUGGUUAUAGAGCAGUAGAUAACUCAUACAUCUUCUAAGGGGUGUUUAUGUCUCAAAGUGGAGUGACCAGUGGUGAAGAUGAUGUAUAGCUGCGUGGUGUAACUGGGCAUCUAGCCAGUUGCUGUGCUGGAAGCCAGACCUAGAAGUGUUGGCAAGGGAGGAUGGAGUUCAACUUAAUGAGUUGAAUAAAUUUAAGACAAUUUAUUCUUUCAAAAUUAUUAGAUUAUUCUUGGCAGAUAUUAGUAGCCUCGAAUACAGUGGUUCUCAACCUGGAGAAUUUCCAAAAUAGUGAUGCCUGGGUCCCACUCCUAGAAACUCUGAACUAAUUGCACCAGGGUAUAGUCUGGGCAUCAGGAUUUAAAAAGUUUCCCAGGUGAUUGUAAGGUGCAGCUGAAACUGAGAACUGCUGCUUUCCAAGUGAGAAGGUGGAAAGAGUAAUGUUGCCUCCCCAACAUCUCUCUGCCAGAUGGUAAAUUACAAUGAAAGCAAGUCUCAGACCAAAUUUGCAAAGCAAAUAUUUACAGGCAAGCAGAAACAGACGUUAAACUUUUCUGAAGUCUCAAUAAAGUCACGGAUCCCUAUCCUUUUAGGCAUGCUAGACAGGCACGGGGCGUGAAGGAUUUGCUUAGGACAGAUGCUGUAAUAUUCCAGGGACAAAAUUCAGCGAAACUUCUGGUCACAUCCUGUGCCCGCCAGUCUUCCCUUAAGAGGCCCCGGCCCUUCUGCAGUGGGUGCUGGGCUCGCCAGGUGCUCAGCCCUCUUUGUAGAAGCGGGGAGGUACCUAUGCAGGACUCACACCAGCUCCCCCACAUAUUUUGAGCACCAUUCAUUUCCAGAAUGGAAAAAAAAAAUCUUUAAUAUUCAUGAUGCUGUCUAACAAAACACUUAGUGCUGAUUUAAGCUGAAGAGAGUAGAAGAUCUUGUGGCAGCAGCCUCUUAAGGAUGGACAUUGACGAAAGCCCCAGUUUCUCAGCCCCGGAUGCACAUAGAGAGCCACUGAAGAAACUUAACAAAGACCCCAGCCCCGUCCCCAGUCAAAUUAAAUCAGAAACUCUGAGGAUGGAGCCUGGGCACUGGCAGUUUUUAAGAGCCUCUCAACAAAUCAUGAUUGCCAGGGGUUAGGGUGGCGGGGAGGUGUGACCCUAAAGGGAUAGGAUACAUGAGGGAGUUUUGUGGAUGGUGAAACUCUUCUGUGUUCUGAUUGUGAGAGUGUUACAAAAAUCUAUACAUGUAUUAACACUCAAAGAACUGUACAACAAAAGGGGAGAAAUGGUUAAUCUUGUAUGAUAAUUAAAAAAAUAUCACAACUUUUAAUUCUUUUUAAAAGCCUCCGAUGAUUCUAGCAUACAGCAGGGUUGGGAGUCACUGCAUUAGAUUCUUUCAAGAGCUGAUCCACCAUCUCUGGGAUGUUCCUGCACAGUUGGGGCCCUGUUAGUGUUAUCUUCCUAAGUUAACAACCUCCUCUAACCACACAUAUGCACACAUCCAUGUAUAGAAUACACCAUAUUGUCAAUGCUGAAGUCUUUCAAGGAAAAUUAUGAAUACUGUAAUAGUGAGAUAUAGCUUCCUCUCAGAUUCACACUGGGGGAACUUCAGAAGAUUGCAGUGGGCAAUUGCACGCAUCAAUACUUCUAUUAAUCUCUGCUCUUGGAGAAAAAACUCACAAUGCAAUUGUUUUGCCUCAAAACAAUGUUUCUCAAACCGAUAAAGUGUGGUUUUUAUAGGAUAACGAAGAAUCCCAAAAGGAGAGUAAUUUGGCAGUUUAAUUGGUUUCAUUUCUGAGUAGGAUCACAGGAAGCAAUAAAUACAUUUUAUUUCACAAAACAGUGUGCAUGGAUAUGUGUGUAUAUAUCAUAUAAAUGAAGCAGAAGUUUCAAGAAGAACUUGUGCCCUUCCUAUUUUAUUCUAUUCCAUGGCAGUGUUGGUCCUGACUCAGUAUCUCGCUAUCAUAAUGCAUAUAAUGGUGAGAACAUCACAAUUUGAAUAUUCUGGGAGAAUCCCAACAGGUGUCUCUGCUCCUUCCCGCCAUGAGGCAAGGAGACAAGGAGAUGGAUAGGAAUUCGUCUCUUGGCUGCACCAUUCUCUAACUUUCUGAAGUUAGGCAGGUUUCCUGAUCUUUAUGUGUUUCCAUUUGCUCCCUCGUAAAAUGGGAAUAAUGGCAGCAGCCUUCAGGCUGUGCUUGGGAUCACCGAAUCCUCAUCAGAUGUGCACAACUCCUAAGGUUCUUUUCCCUUCAUCCACAUUUAAGACUCACUGAGGAAGAGGCUGGACAUGGAAGCCCCGAGCUGUUUCUUAGCUCGGAGGCCAGAAGACUAACCCUGAAUUUAUUGUCUUUUUCCUUAGAAUGAUGUUGCGUGGUAGGCAGGUCUUACCAGAACUUUCAAUAUAUGAAAUAUUCAAAGAACUUAAAAACAGUAUAAAUUCUUUAAUCUCCAGUGAUUUGGGACACUCUGGCUGGAGGCAGAAGAAUAAAGUAAGCAGUUGUCUGGCCAACGGGAACUGAGAAGUAAUCCAAGCUGAUCUGCCCUGUCCACAGCCUGAUUUUAAAAUGAUCAGGAGAGUGUCACUUUUAUGGAUUUGCCUUGUGGAAAACCAACAGCAUAUGAGGAAAAGGAGACGAUUAUCUUCACUAAGAAAAAAAUUGUGCAAACAGUCUCAGUGCACAGGCAUGGCCACACAAACACAUAAACAGCCCUGGUUGAAUUUCUCGCCAUUAACCCACGUCCAGGGCAUCCCAGGGCAUCUGGGGACCUAGCAAACUAAGCAGCGUUUAUUCAGAUAUUCACUAGGGAACUUUCUAAAACUUUAGAGACAUGGAAACAUAUGCUCUAUGUACAGACAUGUAAAUCGUGCAAAAUGCAAGUGAACACCGAGAAGUCAACCACAAGGCAAAGCAGCUACUUCGUUCUGCCUCUCGCUUCUGUGAUUGGGGCGGGGACCCUGGAGGGCGGUUGUCUCAUGGCAGCCAGCCCUGUUCUUUAUUCGCAACCUGGACAGCAGUUCUCAUUCACGAACAUGUGCUAUUUAGCCCAAGACCAGAAGUUUUCUAUUCAAGCCAAGACCAGAAAUUUUCCAAGACAUGGAGGAAAGCACAGCGACCCUGAUGCAAUGUUUGUGGUUAAAUUAGGGUAGUUCAAUUGAUUUAAGUCUCCGGGAUGGCUUUUAGAUUGAAAAGCCUGCUAAUCCUGAGAGUAAAGCAGGUGUUGGUUUGCAACCCAGGAGUUCCCAGUUGAAAUCCGAAACUGGCCCCCGUACACGGCAGGCAAGGACAGACCCAUGACAGAGGCAGGCCACUCCAGAUUGGUAGGCGGUAGGUUUAAUAAGCAAGGGAACUGACAUACAAGGCUUGUCUUGGAUGGCUACAAGAUGAGUAGAUGUCCACACCGGCUCCACAGAAUCUUAAAAGUUUAUAUAGAGGCCUUAACUGGGUUGAGUCAUGUAUCCUGUCCAGAUGGCCUCAACGCCUUACUCUCUCAAGGCUGUACCCUUGAAAUAGCUCCUAGUGUGGGAAUGGUGGACAGAAUGUACCUUCCAAGGACAGAUGCGGGUGUGAGGGACCCCUGCUUGCCUGGGACCAGCUCACAGAUCAACCAGCGGCCACAUCCCCUUGAAGACUCCUCCAACAGCAGGAGAAAUAUGUUAUUUGAAGUGUGACAAAAUUCCUAAGGUGGCUAAAGAGCACAAUCCAUGUUUAAUAAGAAGGAAACUGGAUCGGGAGGAAAAUCAGCUGUAAUGUACAUUUAGAAAGGGAAGAAAUGCCAGUGUUGAACCUGGAAAUAUAGGUUUAAGUCUGCUUGAGGUCACGCAGGAGGGGACUGCAAAAGGAAAUCUUGGCUUCUCACUUUGAAAACGCAUUUGAAUUUAAUGUGUACACUCACAUUGAAGUUUUGACUCUUGCAUACUACCACUUGGUUACACCACAGGACAGCCCGGGUCAGGAGCAUCUGUGUCUGGACGCCCUGGGGCCCUUUUCCUGGCCUCUGGGAGUAUCUCCAGUGCAAUAUCUCACUGGGCUGCUGUAACUUCAAUGAACCAUAGAGGUACUUCCUACUUGUUCUUUUCCCUUCUUGUUGUUAUUGGUUUCUUCUUUUUUUUGCUAACCAGCUUUCCAAUAUUUGAAACGUCCUUACCUGAACACUAGAACUUGAAGACCUGAAGUCCUCAAUCAGGAAUGAAUGAUUUGGCGCAGGGUUCUGGGUGGGUGAAGCAGUUCACCCACCUCCACAAAAUCUCAGGUCACUAACGUGCAUAUUACUGAAUCUGCUGCUGAGUAAGAGCCAGAGGAUGCUGGCUGCUUCGAGGCUGGGGGAUGAGGAAGGAGGGCUGCAGAUGGAUUUGCCUAAAGCCCGCACACCUUGUUUGCCUUCAGCUGGAUACCGUUCCAGGAUAUGUGUAAACGUAUAGAUGAUGCCAAGAGCAAACUGAAUGUUUAUGUCCCCUCUCCCUGAUGUGAGGACACAGUGACAAGGUGGCCAUGUAUGAAUCAAGAAGCCAGCUCUCACCAGAUGCUGAACCUGCCUGCACCUUGAUCUUGGACUUCUCAGCCUCUAGAACUCAGAAACAAAUGUUUGUUGGUGAAGCCCCCAGUCUAUGGAUUUCUGUUAUAGCAGGUGGAACUGACUAAGUACUUACUCAUAGGAUUGUUGUAAGGAUUAAAUUGAUUAAUUCUUCAAAAAUUGUUACUCCGUGGAAGAAUUUAGGACAGUGCCUGACACAUCAUUACUGCUCAAAAGAUCUUAGUUAUUACACCCAUAAUCAUUACUGGGGCAGGAUCUAGGCUAUGAAUCCUCCGUUCACCACUUCUUGUCUCUAUGACAUUGGUGAACUUCUCUGUGCCUCAGUUUCCUCAUCUGUAAAAUGAUGAUAAAAGUACCUGCUUAACAGGGUCAUAGUGAGUAUUAAACAAACACAAGAGAGCAGAGAGCUCAGCGCAUGCCUGGUGUGCACGGAGCCCUCUGUGAUACUCUUGGCUGCUGUUAGCUGUCUGAGAAUCGCCAAAGGAUUGCUCUGUGGUUGUCCUUUUAUAUCUAAGAGAUAAUUUUAUGGAAUCUACAAAAACUGUAGAAUGACAGGUUUAGAAUGAGUUUUAAUGUAAAUAUUGAAAUGAACUAAGGAGAAACACUGAAAACACAAGGGUCCGAAUAGAGAAUGAUGCGAAUCCCAACUGCUGACUAUAUGUAGAGAGAAGGCAGUUUUGAAAACGCUGAACUGAUACAGUUAAAUUCUAGUUGCCAGUGAGCGCUCUUUCUGAGGAACUAGUAAUUGCCGUUCAUUGUCCUCAGACUCGAAGCAAGUGUUGCUUCAGGGAAUGUGGGUGCUCCAAAGAACAAAGAAGUAAUUGUUCACUUGGAAGAAUUUUUAAAAUUUACAUGUGC
ensembl:lncRNA